AUACGUAGGGGGCGAGCGUUGUCCGGAAUGAUUGGGCGUAAAGGGCGCGUAGGCGGCCCGGUAAGUCUGGAGUGAAAGUCCUGUUUUUAAGAUGGGAAUUGCUUUGGAUACUGUCGGGCUUGAGUGCAGGAGAGGUAAGUGGAAUUCCCAGUGUAGCAGUGAAAUGCGUAGAGAUUGGGAGGAACACCAGUGGCGAAGGCGACUUACUGGACUGUAACUGACGCUGAGGCGCGAAAGUGUGGGGAGCAAACAGGAUUAGAUACCCUGGUAGUCCACACUAUAAACGAUGAAUGCUAGGUGUAAGAGGUAUCGACCCCUUUUGUGCCGGAGUUAACACAAUAAGCAUUCCGCCUGGGGAGUACGGCCGCAAGGUUGAAACUCAAAUGAAUUGACGGGG
rnacentral:rRNA from 1 species